GAUGAACGCUGGCGGCGUGCCUAAUACAUGCAAGUCGAGCGAACGGACGUGAAGCUUGCUUCUCUGAUGUUAGCGGCGGACGGGUGAGUAACACGUGGAUAACCUACCUAUAAGACUGGGAUAACUUCGGGAAACCGUAGCUAAUACCGGAUAAUAUUUUGAACCGCAUGGUUCAAAAGUGAAAGACGGUCUUGCUGUCACUUAUAGAUGGAUCCGCGCUGCAUUCGCUAGUUGGUAAGGUAACGGCUUACCAAGGCAACGAUGCAUAGCCGACCUGAGAGAGUGAUAGGCCACACUGGAACUGAAACACGGUCCAGACUCCUACGGGAGGAAGCAGUAGGGAAUCUUCCGCAAUGGGCGAAAGCAAGACGGAGCAACGCCGCGUGAGUGAUGAAGGUCUUCGGAUCGUAAAACUCUGUUAUUAGGGAAGAACAUAUGUGUAAGUAACUGUGCACAUCUUGACGGUACCUAAUCAGAAAGCCACGGCUAACUACGUG
rnacentral:rRNA from 1 species